rnacentral:misc_RNA from 1 species
GAAGUUGCGUGAUAAGUGAUUGUGUGUGGCGAGAGGCUGUGUGUGUAGUUGAUUGGGUUAUAAUAAAUUAGAUAAGAUAAUAGGUUAUAAUUAGUGAACUGUCGACUGAAAUGAGCAAAAAUGCGUGAAUGGAGCGUGGGUAUCUUUUGCCCGUGGGACAUGCCGGUCUUCACCACGACAGAAUAGCCUUCAAUUCAAACAGCUAUCCAUAUCGGGACCUUUAAGGUCAAGGUCGCCGACCUGUGUGAGGUCAUUCUGGUUUUUUCAAGUUUGUGACUUCAGCGUCUUUCCUGCUCAAUUACAGAUGGAAAAUCAACAGUACUGCCUCAAGUGGAACAACUUCUCCCAGCACCUGAAGUAUGCCUUCAACACAAUCUGGAGCAAUGACGACUCCUUUACAGAUGUCACCCUGGCCAUCCAGGGUGGCUUCAAGAUGCGGGGCCAUAAAAUGGUCCUUUCGGCAUGCUCCUACUACUUCAAGAAGCUGCUGGUGGCGGACACGUCCGAGUCGCCGGUGCUGAUCCUGCACGACGUGUCACGGCCCGAGCUGGAGGCCCUGGUGCACUUCAUGUACCACGGCGAGGUGAACGUGACGCAGGAGGUGAUACCGGGCCUGCUGAAGGCGGCAGAGAUGCUGCAGAUCCGCGGACUGUGCGCCGCGCCGCCGCCCAGCGCCAACAAGUCGUCGGCCAGCACGACCAGCACGCCGACCAGCACGGCCAGCCGGCCACUGAAGCGGAUCGCCCCUGCGCCGCCCGCCUCCGAGCCGCCGACGGCCUCCCCGGCCGCCAAAAAGGCGCGCAAGAAGGCGCCGCCGUCGGCGCCCCCUCCCCUGGCACCGGCUCCGGCGGACGGCCGGGGCCGCAGCAGCGUCGAGAGCGAGGAGUCCAGAGACACCAACGGCGUCGGAGGCGGCAGCGACACCGAGGGCGACGGUCAGCUGAGAAUCGACGAGGAGUCCAACGGCCUGGAGCCGGAGACGCUGCUGGAUGAACAGGACGCCGAGGGUGACGGCUGGUCACAGGGCAGCGGCGCCACCGAGGACCAGCUGCUGUACCCGCUGCCGCGGCCCGAGCCGGACGCUGACGCGGCACCCAGUCCCGAGGGCUUCACAUUCUCAUCGCAGCUCAGAAACCUCGCCGUCAAAGUCAAACUAGAGCCGAGGGUGCCCAAUGAUCUGGAGGCGGCAAUAGUAUCAUCAAUGCCAAAGAACGCCCGGGGCCGGCGCCGGUGCCGACCGCUGCCCGGGUACGUGCCCUUGGUGGUGCCCCGACCGUUGAAGCGGGCCUUCCCGCCGCUCCAGCGCCGUUCGCCAGCAGCUGGUGCCGGCCGUGCCACACAAACCCGGCCCCGCGGCCGGCCGCCGAAACACCUGCGUACGUCUUUAUGAAGAGCAAGUGCGCUCGUGAAAACGAUAGCAGUUCUUGAUUCGUUCGUGAUUCAUUAUCAAAUAUGCACGCAUGAAGACGUGCAAAGGCUGCUUGAUUAUCGCAACGUUGUGUAUAUCCUUGAAACGUGCGCAGAUGUGUCAUGCUGUUUCCUGUUCCGUGAUGUUUCCAUGUGUUACGGCGCUGUUACGCGGUCCGUCCUACGGCGUGUUGCCAUGCUCGGUGGUACCAGCUGGAUGGUGCGCGCUAUACCUGGUCCUAUUGUAACGUACCCGGUCGACCGCUCUUCGUGGCAGCGCGGUCCGAGAACCCGGACCGGCCGAGUGACGACGGCGGCUGCCGGCCGUCCACCGAGACCUAUCCUUGGCCCACCUCUGGCACCCCACUCGCCCGAUCCUCAUCCUGUCCGGCACCCCCGCUAAGCGGCCACAUCUCCCUCCCAUGGGGCACCACAAUCACUAGGGCCACCUGCUGCGCAGCGUCCCCGCUAGGCACCCACAUCCCGCCUUCUUCCUGCUCCACACCCACUCGGUCCAUGGCGCCCGUCACGGUGCCCCCGCCAUGCACCUACACCCCACCCCCCUUUGGCAACACACACACCCGGCUCACCCCGGCGCCCCUGUCAGACGCCCACGCCCUGCUCUAUUUCGGUACCACACCCACUUGGUCCACCCUGACACCCCGUCGGGCGCCUCCACUAGGCAAUCAACUCUGUCCCGACACUCAGUCCUCCAACCACAACGCGCUGUUUGGCGUUCUUCUAGGUCCCUGGCUUGUACUUAUCGCUGAUACGACACUCACUUGGUGUACUCUGACGCCACGUGCAGCAUCGCCAGGGACCCGGCUUUCGUCCACCUCAGACUCUGCACUCCCGCGGGCCCCUCCAGCCUCUCCGGCCUCUCCGGCGCCCUGCACAUCGCUCCUACCAGACACCCGAACCCAGCCCACUGCUGGCUCUGCCAAGACACUCUCUUUGUCCUCCUCGGCGCCCUGUGCGGUGCGCUCGCGAGUGACCUGUCAAUCGUCCGCUUGCACCACGGCAUGUAUUGGGUCCAACCCGGCGCCCUGCGCGGCGGUUCAGUCAGAUGCCUUCCCUCUAUCCAUCUCUGCCUCACCGCCCACUUUAUCCGUCCGGGAGCCCUAUGCGCCGGCUCCGUCAGGGGUCCUCGGUAUCACGAAACAGACUCGGCCCACCCCGGCGCAUUGCUCCUUGGUGUCGACCGGGGGCCGUCCUCCAUCCAAUUCUGUCACAGCGCCCACUGUGUCCGUCCCGGCGGCCUGUCCGAUGGUUCCGUCAGGAGCUCACACCGUAACCACUUCUGUCGCGCCACAAACUCGGUCCUCCUCGACACACCGUGCGGCGCUCUCGGGAGGGACCUGCCCGACAUCAUUCACUCUCACCUCGCCACAAACUCUGAACUCCCCGGUGCGCUGUGCAGUGUAUACGCUGGGCACCCACCCUCCAUCCUCCUCCACCUCAACUCCUACCCGAUCCACUCCCUGUUCCUGUACGUCGGUCUCACCGAGACCCUCCGUAAGGCGCCAUCGGCGGCGCGCGAACGGCGAGCGUCCCCGCGUGCUUGUGCUCCUGAGCAGCAACGUGCGGCUGCGUGUCACUCCUGCUCCUGCUCCUGGCGCCUGGCGGGCUGCUAUGGUGCCGCCGUCGCCUCCUGCUCCUCACAGCGGACCGCAGUGCUGGACCCCCUCUCGUGCGCCUGCGGCGCUACAUUCCGCACCAAACACGAAAUGUAUGUGCACAAGAAAAACGGCCACCAGAACAGCUAAGAGCCGCCGCUGUGGGAAGCUCGCCAGGGCGACACUGAGCGGCGUGUCGGCCUGCGGGUCUGAGUGCCCCGGACGGCCGGUCUUCCCGGGACCGAUCUUGGUGCCCGGCUCGGAACGAACUCUGGUGGCCAGCCCUUGACAACUCUAGUGGCUGGAGGUACUCUGUGAAUCCUCGGCGACGCAGUGACUGUGUGUGCGCGCGGCGAGUACCUUGCGUGUGCUCCGGUGUAUCAGUGUUGGUGUGUGGCGACAGCCGGGAGCUCCGGGCAGGGCAGACGGCCGCCCCGGCUCCGGCGCCGGGGGCUGCUCCGGAGCAGCUCGAACGCUAGCCCGCGAGGCGUCUAGCGUCGAUAUCGACUAUCGGUACUAGCCGUACUGAACUAUCGGUACGGCCAAUACCGACUUGGAUCUCCGCCUCCGCGGAAACAUUCUUAUGAAAGCGCGAGUGUGGGCAUAUAUGCGUGUGGCGUGCGUGUGUGUUGGUGCGUGUGCCUGUGUGUUUAGCUGGUAACUACGUGCAGGCAGGAUACAUGUGUGCAUUGGACGCAGCUGUCGGCGAGGAGGUGAUGUGUCUCACGAAGCGCGGUGUUGGCUCGCUCAGACCCACGCGGUGGUACGUUUCGCUCAGCUCCAGCGCCGUGACGAGGUUUGAACCGCCGCAGAACCGCCGACUCCCGCGCUCCGCGAUCGCGUAGUUCUUCGUUUCUCAUUCAUUGUCAAUACAGCAUCGAAACAAA